rnacentral:rRNA from 1 species
GUGGGGAAUCUUGCGCAAUGGGCGAAAGCCUGACGCAGCCAUGCCGCGUGAAUGAUGAAGGUCUUAGGAUUGUAAAAUUCUUUCACCGGGGACGAUAAUGACGGUACCCGGAGAAGAAGCUCCGGCUAACUUCGUGCCAGCAGCCGCGGUAAUACGAAGGGGGCUAGCGUUGCUCGGAAUUACUGGGCGUAAAGGGCGCGUAGGCGGACAGCUUAGUCAGAGGUGAAAGCCCAGGGCUCAACCUUGAAAUUGCCUUUGAUACUGGCUGUCUUGAGUUUGGGAGAGGUGAGUGGAACUCCGAGUGUAGAGGUGAAAUUCGUAGAUAUUCGGAAGAACACCAGUGGCGAAGGCGACUCACUGGCCCAAUACUGACGCUGAGGCGCGAAAGCGUGGGGAGCAAACAGGAUUAGAAACCCGGGUAGUCC